GUCACGUGCGUGGUGGAAAUCCAUUUAUGGGGAAAAUGCGUCAACCAGGCGCGAUGACCUCAUAGAGACACGUCUCCAUGGUGACGGGCGGUUAUAAAUACAGGAAAGCCGUCUGUUCCCUCACAAACAGUUUUUCGUCACAGGAGAGUCGUUAACCGGUUCGUCAGUGAGAUCAACAAAAGAACACAACACCUGUAUAAGGAAAUAGGAGAGAAGAGAAGGAAGACGAUGCAGUCAGCAGAUCCACAGGAGAUGGAGCAGGAGAGAAAGCUGCGCCCCCCACCCAGUCCCACAGCCUGCGGGUGCUGGAGCGACUGCUUCACCCUCUUCAACAGGAGGGACCCAAUCCGGGAGAGCCAGAGAGAGGAGGAGCAGCUCCAACAGGUUCAGGGAGG